rnacentral:rRNA from 1 species
GACGGAGGGUGCUAGCGUUGUUCGGAAUGACUGGGCGUAAAGAGCGUGUAGGCGGUUCGGUAAGUCGGCUGUGAAAGUCCAGGGCUCAACCCUGGGAUGCCGGUCGAUACUGCCGGACUAGAGUUCGGAAGAGGCGAGUGGAAUUCCCGGUGUAGCGGUGAAAUGCGCAGAUAUCGGGAGGAACACCUAUGGCGAAGGCAGCUCGCUGGGACGUUACUGACGCUGAGACGCGAAAGCGUGGGGAGCGAACAGG